rnacentral:misc_RNA from 1 species
UUUUUUAAAGUUCUUGGAAAAAAACUUUAUUGCUACAAUGCAAUAUUACAUAAUAACAAAAUUAACGAUAACAAAUCUUCAUGUUGAAGUUGAAUAGAUUAAUUCCUAUAUUACACUAAGCAGUCUAAUUGUAUAAACUUGAAACAAUCAUCACAACAAGAAUUGACAUGAUAAGAAUAUACCGAAACCACAACAAGGCACAGCAAUACCUAAAAUCUGAAUUUGGAUCACGGAACCUUAAUUGUCUCCUUUAUGCCCUCUGAAAUACAUGUAAAUUUUCUGAAGAACCCACAAGCUAAGAAGAGAUUCUAAGCAAAACAAGCCGAAACCAACCAAGUAGAAAAUCCCAACCAACAAAUGGUCAGAGAUGAGAUCAAAUGCAGGAAGUAUGCCGGUUAAUGACUUCCCAUGGAAGACAAUUGGAGG